rnacentral:lncRNA from 1 species
CCAGGGUGGGAGGAUCCACUUCCAAAACGUCUCACUCACAUGACUAUUGGCAGAAAGCCUCAGUUCCUUGAAAAUGUGGACUUCUCUGCAGGCCUUCUGGAGUGUCCUCCUGACAGCAACUGGCCUUUCCCAGAGAGAGUGAUCCAACAGAGAGAGCAAGUAGGAUAUAGCUGCGCCUUUCAUGACAGCCUCAGAAGCCACAAAUCACCGUGUCUGCUAUGUUUUAUUCAUCAGAAGACCUCAGAUGGACAGAAUUCAACUCAUCACAUUUCUUGGUUCUUGACACGCUCUCCUCGUUAGUCCAUCACAUAUUGCACGGAUUCAUUCAUAUCGCUGCAUGUAGGCUGCUUUGACCUGCUGUAGAAUAUCUCAUUGUGUGGAUGCACAUGUGGAUCACUGAGUAUGUCAGAGCUGGCAAGAUACGUCAGAAGAGAAAGGAGAAACUCUUAACUAAAUAGAGUUGGAAAUAAAAUAAUUGUCUGUAUGGAAUAAGAUCAAAGGUCCCACAUGUUAAAGUCAACCCCAGAUGAAUUAAAGUCUUACAUGUCAAAAAAAAUUGAAACUUUUAGAAGAAAAUUAAGGUGGAUAUAUUUUAGACCUUAAGGUAGAGAAAGAUUUCUUAAAGAAGACACUUACAGGAUUGAUUACAAACAAAAAGACUGGUACAUUUGAAUGUAUUAUGUUAAGAACUUUUCCACCAAAAGAAAGCCUCGAUUUCCUCAUUUUUAAGAUGAGGAUAAUAAUCCCUACCUUAUAGAAUUCUAAUAAGAUGAAAUGAAGCAACAUAUACAAAAUACUUAGCACAGAUCCUAACACCUACAAAAUAAUAAAUGGUAACGAUUAUUAUUCUUCUCAAACAACAAUCCUAUUAUUUAUCAAAUAAUACUGAGUAAUAUGACAAGACAUAUUUAAACCACACAAGCCAUAUGCAGACAAGUGUUUAAUAUCAUAGUGAUAGUUUCAAGAGAGAGAUAAUAAUUUAUUCUACAUUUAUCAGAGGUCUAUAGCCCAGUAGUCAAUAAAUACUUAUCUAUAGUCAAUAAGUACUAUCAAGCAUCCAUGCCAGGAACCAUGCUAGGGGCUGAUUAAUUUACAUCAAUCACCAUGACUUUUUUCCCACAAACUAACACACACACAAUCUUCAUAGAUUUUUCUGUGAUCACAGCAAGGAAAAGACCUACGCAUGUUUGGAUCAUCUGUGUACAGUCCUACAGAAGAACUUUGACACUAUCAGAGACAGAAAUCUCAGAAUAGUCCAACUCUCACUUAUUUGUGCUAAUGAAAGAGUAAAGUAAAAGAGACAAUUAAAAUGGGAAAUGUGUUUUGUUUUGUUUUGGUGUUUUGUUUUACAAGUAUGCAAAAACCUCAAAUCAACCUGACCCAACAAUAAGGAAGCAAGUCAGAAAAAGGCAGUCUUCCAGAGCUGUUUGUUCAGCAGCUCAGUAAUGCCAUGAAGGUUUGCUUCCUUUCUCUGCUUUGUGUUUCUGGAGAGAGUCCGCAUACAUUUCAAUAUGGCUGACAGCAGUUCUGGAAUGUAUAAAGCCUUGCAUAAAGAAAAUGACAGUUCACUAUGAAAAUCUGAUUCGGAUGAUGUUGAAAAUAGAUUUAGUGUCUGCUCUGCCUCUCUGUUUUCUAGGACUUCACCACCUCACAGACUUUGUACACUCAUGGUUCACAACUUCCUCACUGUGUUUUCUUUAACGAGUAGAAGAUAAAUAAGCUUUAAGAAAUAGUAAAUUAUAUCAAAAUAGACUUUAUCAUAUAAUUUGCCUAAUUAUGUACCUUCAGUAAGUGUUUAUUGAACUCUGGGGUGUCAACAAUUUUUUAUUCAGCUCUCAUAAGUAAUAUUUGCUUAGAAAUCUACCCAUAAAUAGGAUAACAACUUUCAUAAAACAAGAAUUUAUACCUAGCUAACAUGAAAAAGCUAAACAUCCCUUGAAGUACAAUUCUCCUGAAAAUCAUCCCAAUAUGGUUUAUUGAGGCUGAUGGAUUUGGACACCAGCUCUUAAGAAAAAAGAUAAAGAGGAAAGCUACUGCCUGCCACAACAUAUUCUUUUUCCCAAGAGCUGGCUUCAGAAGGUGAACCCAGAGAGCAGGCUGUUUCUGUCCAUGGGAAAGCAGGAUGGUACAGCCCAUAUCUGAUUCAGAAACCAACAGUCAAACCAUUCUCCCCUGAGACUAAAGCAGAG